CAGUCUCAUUCUUUCUUUAAAUAUCUCUCUCAUAUUUUGGAGCUCUGACUUAAAUUAUUUGCUUAUUUCUUCCAUUUCUUUGGUCUAUUAAGUUAUUCUUUAUUUUGUUAAAAGUCAAGUUUUUUUGUUAUAGUCCUUGUCAAAAGUUUCUGUUUAUCUCACUUCCUCUUUCUUCUGUUUUCUUGUCACAAUCAACCUCUAACAGUCCCAAAGUAUUGCAUUCUUUUAUGUUUAACUAUAAUCCCCCCUUCUUUUUUUAAUAAAGCUUUUG